rnacentral:rRNA from 1 species
UACGUAGGGUGCAAGCGUUGUCCGGAAUUAUUGGGCGUAAAGAGCUCGUAGGCGGUCUGUCGCGUCUGCUGUGAAAACUCGGGGCUUAACCCCGGGCCUGCAGUGGGUACGGGCAGUCUAGAGUGCGGUAGGGGAGACUGGAAUUCCUGGUGUAGCGGUGAAAUGCGCAGAUAUCAGGAGGAACACCGGUGGCGAAGGCGGGUCUCUGGGCCGUAACUGGCGCUGAGGAGCGAAAGCGUGGGGAGCGAACAGG